rnacentral:lncRNA from 1 species
AUUCACGGCGCUUUAACAUGAUCCAGGUGAUGUUAGCGUCCUGCUAGUGGUCCACGUGGUCCACGAUGAGGAGGUGGAUUCGGCCCCACCCCCUGCUACAGUGAGCCAAUGAGCUCAGUCACACAAAACAGUGCUGACGUCAGCAGUCUCCGGGACAAAGGAGGGAUCCAAGCAGGCAGGCUGUGAGGAUGGCGAGGGUGGUCCACCACAGUGCGAUGAGCAACCACCAGCGCCAGGCUUGACGUCAGAAGGAUGAGUGGUGCACUCCAGAAGGUUCUGUGAGCUCAGAGCCUCCCGGAUCUUCCUGAGAGAAGAGAAGAGAAAGCACGAAGCACUCACACCUGCUCUUGAGAGCCUUGACCAGAAGUGGCAGAAGUCAUUCUCCGGCACCAGCCUGUCAUGUGACCCCAUUAACCUGCAGGAGGCCUGCAAGUGCAGUCCCAGGUGCCUGGAAGAAGCAGAGAACCACAGAUGGGUAAAUAAUACACUCUGAACCAUAAUUCAGUGGAAAUCAGUCAUUGAAAGAUGCGAAAGAACUCAUCAAAAGGAAGCCAUUUACAAAUCAGGUAGACCUUGAUUACUUAUCUCAGGUACUCCACCAGAGUAGUGUUUUAGCAUUAUUUCCUUCUUGUUUUGGUGGAAGGCCAACCAGAAAUUCCCAGGUUUUAAGAUGAAGCAUCUGCAUAGGUAUAAAGUCUUGCCUCAUGUAUCCACUCUGAGCUUCUCUGCGAGAAUAUAUCAAACUGUGAUCCUCGGCUUCCAUCAGGAGACUCUUCAAUAGUCCAUUUCUCCUUCUAGAAAACUUCUAUUGUGUUCUGGCUACAGAGACUAGGACCAUGGCAAAUAAGAUCUUGAAAUUCAAAAUAAAGACUGUGGUCUGAGUUUGCUGAAUUGAAUUGAAUCCUCCAUUAAAUUAGGCACACAUGAUGCAGAAACUUGUUGGUUUUUUUUUAGGCAAGUUAAAGAGCUACUUUCUUGUAAAAGCACCUGGCACAGUUCUUGG